GGUUAACUUAUGUCAGGAUGGAACUGUCAGCGUGAUGGAGAUUGGCAGCAACUUCAGCCGAUCAGAGGAGCACGUCUCUCUUGUUAGGGCUAGAGUGGUGAUGACUGCUGCUCCGAAUAGUCCAACCGCGGCAACUCCACCAGAAUUGGCCACCACCCAAAAAG